AUACGAGUUUGAUCAUGGCUCAGGAUGAACGCUGGCGGCGUGCCUAACACAUGCAAGUCGAGCGGUAUAUACUGGAACGAAACUUCGGUCUAGAGAAGGUAUAGAGAGCGGCGGACGGGUGAGUAACGCGUAGGCAACCUGCCCCAUACAGAGGGAUAGCCUCGGGAAACCGGGAUUAAAACCUCAUAAUACGAAAGCUUCACAUGUUGCUUUCGUCAAAGAUUUAUCGGUAUGGGAUGGGCCUGCGUCUGAUUAGCUAGUUGGUGAGGUAACGGCUCACCAAGGCGACGAUCAGUAGCCGACCUGAGAGGGUAAUCGGCCACAUUGGAACUGAGACACGGUCCAAACUCCUACGGGAGGCAGCAGUGGGGAAUAUUGCACAAUGGGCGAAAGCCUGAUGCAGCAACGCCGCGUGAGCGAUGAAGGCCUUUGGGUCGUAAAGCUCUGUCCUUGGGGAAGAAAAAAAUGACGGUACCCAUGGAGGAAGCCCCGGCUAACUACGUG
rnacentral:rRNA from 1 species